UUAACAUUGUGUAGUACUCAGACAGACACGUAAACAGGUUAGGGUUUGGGGUCUUCGGCGGGCACGCACCGGCGGGGUGCCGGUGGCCGAGCGGCGGCCCGCCGAAGCAACAGGGGGUUAAAUACACAAAGGGUGGAGGUAUACCCCGGAGGGCAUGGACACUGUAAUGAUCCUUCCGCAGGUUCACCUACGGAAA
rnacentral:misc_RNA from 1 species